rnacentral:tRNA from 1 species
ACUAUGGCUCAGUUGGUAGAGCAACGCAUUCGUAAUGCGUGGGUCGGGGGUUCGAGUCCCCCUAGUG